rnacentral:rRNA from 1 species
AUUGAACGCUGGCGGCAGGCUUAACACAUGCAAGUCGAGCGGGGUGAUGGUGCUUGCACUAUCACUUAGCGGCGGACGGGUGAGUAAUGCUUAGGAAUCUGCCUAUUAGUGGGGGACAACAUCUCGAAAGGGAUGCUAAUACCGCAUACGUCCUACGGGAGAAAGCAGGGGAUCACUUGUGACCUUGCGCUAAUAGAUGAGCCUAAGUCGGAUUAGCUAGUUGGUGGGGUAAAGGCCUACCAAGGCGACGAUCUGUAGCGGGUCUGAGAGGAUGACCGGCUACAAUGGGACUGAGACACGGCCAAGAUGCCAACGGGAGGCAGCAGGUGGGAAUAUUGGACAAUGGGGGUAACCCUGAUCCAGCCAUGCCGCGUGUGUGAAGAAGGCCUUAUGGUUGUAAAGCACUUUAAGCGAGGAGGAGGCUCUUUUGGUUAAUACCCAAGAUGAGUGGACGUUACUCGCAGAAUAAGCACCGGCUAACUCUGUGCCAGCCGCCGCCGUAA